UACGUAGGGUGCAAGCGUUAAUCGGAAUUACUGGGCGUAAAGCGUGCGCAGGCGGUUUUGUAAGUCAGAUGUGAAAUCCCCGGGCUUAACCUGGGAACUGCGUUUGAAACUACAAGGCUAGAGUGUGGCAGAGGGGAGUGGAAUUCCACGUGUAGCAGUGAAAUGCGUAGAGAUGUGGAGGAACACCGAUGGCGAAGGCAGCCCCCUGGGUUAACACUGACGCUCAGGCACGAAAGCGUGGGGAGCAAACAGG
rnacentral:rRNA from 1 species